rnacentral:rRNA from 1 species
AUAAUAAAAAAUUUUAAAAUUAUUAGGUAUAUUUUUAAUUUAAAUAAAAUUUUAGGAUAGAUAGAGUUUAAGUAAUUAAUAAGAAUAAAUUUUUAAUAAAAAUUUAACUGUAGAGUGAUUUUAAAAAUAUUGAAAAGAAAAUUUAAUUUAUUGUACCUUUUGUAUCAGGGAUUAUUAAAUUAAAUAAUAAAAAUUUAUUUAUCUCGAAUUAAAAAGAGUUAAUUAAAUAUUAUAGUUAUUGUUAAAUAAAUAUUAUAAAUAUUUAAUUGGAAAUGAAAUGUUAGUCGUUUUUUAAGAUAUCUAGUUUUUUAAUAUAAAAAUUUAAUUUUUUUAUAAGAAAUGAUUAUUAAUUUAUUAGAAUUAGUAAUUAUUUUAUAAAUAAUAAUUAAUGGGAUAAUCUAUUAAUUUAAAUUAAAUAAAUUUGAAAUUAUUUAAAAUUUAGAAAUUAAAAUUUUUAUAAUUAUGAAGUUUUUAAUAAUUUAUUAAGUUAGAUAUUUAAUUUUUAAAAUUUAUUAAAUUUAUAUUAAAAUAAAAUUUAAAAUGUUAAUAAGUUUAAAAUAAUGAUUAUAUAAGUAUAAAAAAUUGUAAAAUAAAUUAAUUUAUUAAAUUAGUUUAAGGAAUUAGGCAAAAUUUUAAAGUUCACUUGUUUAACAAAAACAUGUUUUUUUGAAUAUAAUAAAAAAUUUACUCUGCCCAAUGAUGAUUUAAAUGGCCGCAGUAUUUUGACUGUGCAAAGGUAGCAUAAUAAAUAGUCUUUUAAUUGAGGACUAGAAUGAAUGAGAGGAUGAAAUUUUAACUGUCUCAAAUUAAAGAAUAGAAAUUUAUUUUGAGUUAAAAUUCUUAAAUGAAUUUAAGGGACGAGAAGACCCUAUAGAAUUUAAAAUUUUUUAAUUAAUUUAUAAAAUAAUAUUGUUAAUAUUUAAUUAAAAAUUUUUUUAUUGGGAUGAUAUUAAAAUUUAAAAAACUUUUAAUUUUAGAAUCCAUAAAUUUAUGAAUUAUUGAAUAAAAAUUUUUAAAAAAAGAUAAAAUUACCUUAGGGAUAACAGCGUAAUAAAUUUUUAAAGUUCAAAUUAAAAAAUUUGAUUGCGACCUCGAUGUUGAAUUAAAAUAAAAUUUAAGUGAAGAAGCUUAAAAUUUAAGUCUGUUCGACUUUUAAAAUUUUACAUGAUUUG